GACGAACGCUGGCGGCGUGCUUAACACAUGCAAGUCGAACGGAAAGGCCCUGCUAUCGUGGGGUGAUCGAGUGGCGAACGGGUGCGUAACACGUGAGUAACCUGCUCUUGACUUUGGGAUAACUUCAGGAAACUGGGGCUAAUACCGGAUAGGAGAUCCUGCUGCAUGGUGGGGGUUGGAAAGUUUCGGCGGUUGGGGAUGGACUAGCGGCUUAUCAGCUUGUUGGUGGGGUAGUGGCUUACCAAGGCUUUGACGGGUAGCCGGCGUGAGUGGGUGACGGGCCAGAUUGGGACUGGGAGACGGACCGGGCACCAUCGGAAAACAGCAGUGAGGAUUAUUGCACAAUGGGGGGUAGCCGGAUGCGGCAACGCGGCUGUAGAGAUGACUUCCUGCGAGUGAAAAGCCGCUUGCGCCUGUGACGAUGCGUUGGGGACAGUAAAAGAUAAAGAAGCGCCUGCUAACUAC
rnacentral:rRNA from 1 species